rnacentral:tRNA from 1 species
GGGCGCGUUGAAUGCCUUAUCUUGACUUUUAAUCAGUAGGUCAUGGGUUCGAAUCCCAUCGCGCUCACCA